rnacentral:misc_RNA from 1 species
GCGUGGGGGCAUCCUGGCCUCUCUCCUCUGCCGGUAACGUUGCCAUGGGCCACGUGAAAAGGCCCGCGCCGCAUGACAUCUCCUUUUCUGGGCGCGCGCCUAUCGCGAUGGCGAGUGGUGGCGACGACGCGCGGGGCCGGCCUGGCGACAUCUCCUUUUCAUUGCCUCUCGCUGGUUUCCAAGGCGCCGGACCGCGCGCGCCGCGGCUGGGACGGGGGCAACGUGGGCAAGCCGCACGGGCGCUGCGGCGGGUGCUUUGCGUUGCGUUCCGUUGGUAAAUCAUCCAACAAACUUAUCCAGCUCUCACAGUUUUUAAAUAUAUGGGCGCUACUUUGUUAUUUGGAUCAGCUUCGACCUUCUUUUUCCUGGAACUCUUCUUCUUCCUUUGUAUAUAGUGACUUCACA